rnacentral:tRNA from 1 species
UGGGUUGUAGCUUAACAGUAGAGCGCUUGCCUUGCAAGCAUGAGGUACUGGGUUCAAUCCUUAGCACCACAU